rnacentral:rRNA from 1 species
UGAGUUACAGUGAAGUGGCCGGAAUAUGUGGUGUAGCGGUGAAAUGCAUAGAGAUCACAUAGAACACCGAUUGCGAAGGCAGGUCACUAACUGUAUACUGACGCUGAUGGACGAAAGCGUGGGGAGCGAACGGGAUUAGAUACCCCGGUAGUCCACGCCGUAAACGAUGGACACUAGCUGUCGGGACGUAAGUUUCGGCGGCCAAGCGAAAGUGAUAAGUGUCCCACCUGGGGAGUACGUCGGCAACGAUGAAACUCAAAGGAAUUGACGGGGGCCCGCACAAGCGGUGGAGCAUGUGGUUUAAUUCGAUGAUACGCGAGGAACCUUACCAGGGCUUAAAUGGGGAGUGACAGGGGCAGAGACGCCCUUUUCUUCGGACACUCUUCAAGGUGCUGCAUGGUUGUCGUCAGCUCGUGCCGUGAGGUGUCAGGUUAAGUCCUAUAACGAGCGCAACCCCUACCGUUAGUUGCCAGCAUGUAAAGAUGGGGACUCUAACAGAACUGCCGGUGCAAACCGUGAGGAAGGUGGGGAUGUCGUCAAAUCAUCACGGCCCUUACGUCCUGGGCUACACACGUGCUACAAUGGCCGGUACAAUGAGCAGCCAUCCGGCAACGGAGAGCGAAUUUAUAAAACCGGUCACAGUUCGGAUCGGGGUCUGCAACCCGACCCCGUGAAGCUGGAAUCGCUAGUAAUCGGAUAUCAGCCAUGAUCCGGUGAAUACGUUCCCGGGCCUUGUACACAC